AGAGUUUGAUCCUGGCUCAGGAUGAACGCUAGGGACUGGSCUAACACAUGCAAGUUGCGGGGCAGCACAAGGUAGCAAUACUUGGGUGGCGACCGGCGGACGGGCGAGUAACACGUAUGCAACCUGCCCGUAAUCGGGGGAUAACCCGGAGAAAUUCGGACUAAAACUCCUUGUAUCUGAGAUAUCGCAUGAUAAAACAGAAAAACGCGAGGGUUACGGAUGGGCAUGCGGAUGAUUAGCUAGUUGGAGGGGUAACGGCCCGCCAAGGCGACGAUCAUUAGGGGUUCUGACAGGAAGGUCCCCCACAUUGGAACUGAGAGACGGUCCAAACUCCUACGGGAGGCAGCAGUGAGGAAUAUUGGUCAAUGGGCGAGAGCCUGAACCAGACAAGUCGCGUUAAGGAAGAAGGUCUUAUGGAUUGUAAACUUCUUUAGCAGAGGGAUAAAGGCUAUUACGAGAUAAUAAUUUGCAGGUUCUAUGCGAAAAAGGAUCGGCUAACUCCCAGCCAGCAGCCGCGGUAAUACGGAGGAUUCGAGCGUUAUCCGGAUUUAUUGGGUUUAAAGGGUGCGUAGGCGGGUUUGUAAGUCAGUGGUGAAAGUUUCCGGCUUAACCGGGAGAAUGCCGUUGAGACUGCAAAUUUUGAGUGCAAGCGAGGUAAGUGGAAUGAGUUGUGUAGCGGUGAAAUGCAUAGAUAUAACACAGAACCCAGAUUGCGAAGGCAGCUUACUAGUAUGUAACUGGCGCUGAGGCCAGAAAGCGUGGGGAGCAAACAGGAUUAGAUACCCUGGUAGUCCACCCAGUAAUCGAUGAAUACUAGGGGUAUGCGAUAGACAGUAUGCGGCGGAGCGAAAGCAUUAAGUAUUCCACCUGGGGAGUACGUCGCCACCAAUGAAAGCAAAGGAAUUG
rnacentral:rRNA from 1 species